AACAGACGUGGCAUUAUUUAUUUACUUUCGACAAUAAUAUUAGGAUGCGCUGUACAGCUUUUACCCAAAAAAAAGAUGAUAAAAUAGUGAUACGCAGCAUCACUGUUAGAUAUGUAAUUUGUGGUUCCGUUCCUGUUGCCGAAAUAACCUGUACGUUUUAACUUUCUAAGUUUCGUCGCGUAAUAGUCUACUAAGAUGUUUCUAGAAGAAUAUUAAACUUAAAUAUUUUCAUUGUUGAGAUUCACCAAUGUGUAUUAAUAAUUCAGUUACCUACGAUAAUAUGAAUUUUCGGCUUUACCAUAAAUUGUCUCGCUUGAGGUGUAGACAGUAGGCAGAUACGGUAAUUGUAAGAAUGUUCAGAAAUUAAACAUAGAAUUGGGACCAAAUAUUUUAACAGAUUUCAUCCGAAAGAUUUCAAAACCUUUAUUUUUUGUUUUAAUUAAUUGUCUUUACGUUGUCCCACUUCAUGGUGAAAUUUUAGUGAAAAGAAAGAAAAAUAAUUGGUCCGAAUGAUUAGGCUGUUAUUAUUUACAGUUUUUUGUACCGCACAAUAAUUAUUGUUUAGUGCCUUCUGGAGAAAGUUAUUAGAAUACGUUGAAGCGUUGCGUAGUAUCUCUGAUAACAACUUACACACACAUGGUGGGCAAUACGAAUUAUAUACAAAACACUGAAAUAAGAGUGUUUAAGUAACAGCAAUGAGUACCGGGAACGAAUGCUUUUUGUAUUCUGAAGAUAAUCUCCACGAUCCUAUUUCCUUACGUCAAGGCGAAGAGGUUAUCUUAGGAAGAGGGCCUCUGACAAGAAUUACGGACACUAGAUGCUCCAGAAAUCAAGGUGCUGGAUGUCAGUUUGGGGAACAGAGUUCCAUGCCUGUUGCACUUGUAUGCCUCCUAGCAGACAGUUCAUCAAAAGAAGUGAAAGUAAAACAGUUGGGUAGUAAUAAUUCAGCUGUUAAUGGACUAGCGCUGAAGAAGAAUGAAACAUAUACAUUGAAAGAAGGGGAUGUACUGGAAUUCCUGCUUGGCCAGUAUGCACACACAGUCAGAUUUUGUGCUAAAAAUGGUGGCAGUGUUUCACUGCAUAAAGGAAUUAAAAGGGCUACAGAACAUCCCUGCCAGCCAGCAAAAAGAUUGUGUGAGGACUUUUAUACAAGCCAAAGAGUGAAUGAUUUGAAGGAUGCAAUAUCAACUGAAGUGACACCAUGUUCUGCGGACAAAUGGGAAUAUAUAGAUAAUAAUAAACUUAUAAUUCUUACAAGUAAAGGAUGUAAAGGCAGUUCAAAGAUAGCUGGUUAUGAUGUAGACGGAACUAUUAUCCUCACAAAAUCUGGUCGUGUCUUCCCAAAAGACAAUGAUGACUGGAAAAUAUCAUUCAUUGAGGUGCCUGGAAAACUGAAACAUUUGUGGAGUUCUGGCUUUAAAAUAGUAUUUUUCACAAAUCAGGCUGGAAUUUCUAAGGGGAAAGUGAAAAUUGAAGAUUUCAAAAGUAAAAUUAGAAACAUUAUUUCAAGGCUUGGUGUUCCAGUGCAAGUUUUUAUAUCAACUGGGAAAGGUAUCUACAGAAAGCCAGCACCUGGCAUGUGGAAUGUUUUAGUCGAAAAGAAAAAUGAUGGUGUAGCUAUAGACAAGACUGCAUCUUUUUACUGUGGAGAUGCAGCUGGCAGGGAUGCAAAUUGGGCACCAAAAAAGAAGAAAGACUUUUCCUGUUCUGAUCGCCUGUUUGCUCUAAAUAUAGGAUUAAAAUUUUACACUCCAGAAGAACAUUUUCUUGGUUAUAAAGCUGCUCAGUUCAAUCUUCCAGAAUUCAAUCCGUCUGCCUUGAUGCAAGAUAAGCCACUCUGCGAACCAGCAGGAACAAAACUGUGUACAGAUGAGCUAGAGGCUGUAAUUCUGGUUGGUGGCCCAGGCUCUGGAAAAAGUUUUUUUGCAAAAACACAUUUGGUACCAAAAGGAUAUGUGCAUGUAAAUAGAGACACUUUGGGAUCUUGGCAGAAAUGUGUCUCUUCAAUGGAAGAUGCCCUAAAGAAAGGCAAAAGUGUUGUCAUUGACAAUACAAAUCCAGACAAAGAAUCAAGGAAAAGGUAUAUAGAAGCAGCUAAAAAAUAUGGUGUUAAAUGUCGCUGCUUUAUUCUUGCAACAUCUGUGGAGAAUUCUAGACACAAUAAUAAGGGACUCUGUGGUUCUCUGUCAGCUCCGCAAUGGCCAUACGUGGCUGACGCAUGAUUACCUCCUCCAUUGUGAGGACCCGCUUCAGUGUCGCUGUGGCUCACGAAUGACGAUUGUCUAUCUCUUGCUGGACUGCCCACUUUACGCUGCUCUGUGGCGGACUUUUAACUUUCCCAGCACCCUACCUUCGGUGUUGGGCGACAAUGCCUCAACAGCAGCUUUAGUUUUACAUUUUAUUCGUGAGGUUUCGUGAACUGACUGAUGAUUCUCAUGAGCCCAUUAGUGAAGCAAUUAUAAAUAUGUUCAGGGCAAAAUAUGAGGAACCAACUACUGAGGAAGGAUUUUCUACUAUUGUGAAAGUGAAUUUUGUUCCUGUCUUUAC